rnacentral:tRNA from 1 species
GGGCCCUUGGUGUAGCUCGGAAGCACCCGUCGCUUGGAACGACGAGGGGCCGUUCGAAUCGGCUAGGGCCCA